GCGAGGCUGCGCCUGACGUCGGGCGCCGCGGCGCGGGUCGGGGACAGGCCCGGCUGCCGCCUCGGCCCCGCUGGGCGCUGCCGAAAGCGCGGGGAGGGGAAGCGCGCUCGCUGCGCCGCGGCCCGUCAAGACUUAGAGCCUUUUUUCAGAAUUGCAGUCUCCAUGCCUGGUUGACACAUGCCCUUGGCAGAACAGCACACAGGCCCGUGGCAGGGAGCGUCCGGCCAAGGGGCAGAGCCCAGCCGCAGAGCCCCGCUCCCGCUCGGCACGGACCCAAGCCCCCAGCCUGAAGGGGCACGCAGCGUUUGGAGGAUGCAGCUACGGUUUUGAAGCGUGCCAGAAGCUUUAACCACCUAUGAAUGAAGACAACUCCUAAUGAAUUCCACAUCUCUCGACCAGGUUAAAGGAUUAGACUUCCAGAACAGUAAGUAGGCAUGUCUCUUUUCCUGUUACUCUCCCUAAACAUGUAAAUAUUCUUUCUUGAGCAGGGUGGUAACAUUAUGCUGUUGUUACAUAUGCUGAACUUUCCAUCAAAAGAUUCAAAUUUGCAUUCAGUGUCCCUCUAUACUAUCAACCGUUUG